GAUGAACGCUGGCGGCGUGCCUAAUACAUGCAAGUCGAGCGAACAGACGAGGAGCUUGCUCCAAUGACGUUAGCGGCGGACGGGUGAGUAACACGUGGGUAACCUACCUAUAAGAGUGGGACAACUUCGGGAAACCGGAGCUAAUACCGGAUAAAAUGUUGAAACGCAUGGUUCAAGAGUGAAAGACGGUAUUGCUGUCACUAAUGGAGGGAUCCGCGCCGCAUUAGCUGGUGGGUAAGGUAAAGGCUAACAAAGGGAAGGUAGAUAACCCGACCUGAGAGGUUGUCCGCCCACACUGGAACGGAGACCCGCUCCAGACCCCUACGGGAGGCACCAUUGGGGAUUCUUCCGCAUUGGGCGAAAGCCUGACGGAGCAACGCCCCUGGGUUGAAGAAGUUCUCCGGUCCGUAAACCCUUUUUAUUGGGGAAAACCAAAUCGGUAAUUAACUAUGCACGUCUUGACGGUACCUAAUCAGAAAGCCACGGCUAACUACGUG
rnacentral:rRNA from 1 species